rnacentral:lncRNA from 1 species
UGUCUUUGUUUAUUUGUCAACACGGCAACAACUGACAGGCACGACGUUUACGGGGAAACAUACAAAUCUACACUAUAACCAGUAGCAGCAGCAAUAGAAGUAGGCGACCUCUUGUUUUGUCUGCAGCACAUACAGUCUCCACCGCUACUAUCCGUCAUUGUGCUGAGCUUUUUAGAACAUUAGCAGAUUAUGACGAGAACAACCGGCAAUCCCUAAUACCGAACAGGACUGCCACUCAGUUGAGACGUUUUAUGACGGCGAUAGAAGCGCCGAUUGAGCGUAUUGGGAUUCGACAAACAAAACAAUUGCUAAAUCGCUCAAGUGAUAUGAUAAAGGACAACGAACAGGUGACAAUCAUUCUACCUGCUCCACUGGGACGUCAACGAAAAAUUAGAUCUACAAUGGGGGAAAAAAAAGGCGAGAUAAAAAGAGCGAAAAUAAGAUCGUUAGUGUCUAUAUAAUAUAUAUAUUCGUGUUAUAAUUGCUAGAAUUCAAUGGGGCUGGUGUUGGAAAGGUCAAAAUGAGCAUAGCAGUAACGAACGUUGAGAUGGCUGUGUCGGUGAUAAUGCAAAUUACGACGUCGCCAUUUUCGAAGUCAUUGGACUCGUUGGAGCAUUUUAGUAAGCGCACGGUUAAGUAGUGAGUAGCCAAGUCUUCGUGAUGCAGACGGUGACCAAGCUCGGAACAAUAACGGAUCUGUUCGCCACUACGGAUGUGCGCCACGAUAUAUUAAUGCGGCCACUGCCAUAUUAACGGCUCUUCAGAGACAUUUGGGAUCCACUAAAAUCAUCUGCAAGCAUAAUGUUCAAUGUUUCAAUGCGCUAGUACGGACGGAAGACAAGACGAAAUCGUAUCUACGUCAUUAGGAAAUACAUUUCUGAAGCUUUCUCACUCCAGCCGCCCCUUCUGGCCUGCUUCUGCGGGAUUGCUGUCUAUGAAACACGGUAGCUUCGAUUUGAAGGCUGACUUCAAGCAGGAACCAGUCGACCCCUUCUGAUGAGCGCUGUUAAAUGCUGAAUCCCCGAUUCGCGGUUUUUCGGCUCAGUAAAGCGAUCGUUAGCGUACCCGUCUUCGAAAUCGCCGCUGCCGUUGCUACGACCGGCAACAGUAAAAGUACCUACAAGCAGCCAGAAGAGCUAACCGGCAGAGUCCUGCUGCUACAACAACAACGUACCUACUCCACCCGCUACUUCUGCGUCUGAUGGUGUCCUGGAUAGAGCGAAAUUUCGCCGGCUGCACCGUCGUUCGCACCACCCCAGGAGCGCCAAAAGCAGAAGCUAACAACAGUCGACCGAGUUGACCGAACAGGCGAACGCUCGGUCGUAGAUGAAACGGAGGCCGUAACUGAGACAGCGUGUGUAACCGCCAGCCAAGCCACCGAUCACAAAUAAUAAUAAUGAAACCGCAACAGUGCCGCUCCACAACGGCAUAAGGCGUCGCAUUGCUUUGCAUGACAUGCCGCGGCGUAACGGCUGAAUCGUAAAAAGCGUCAAUAGAACAGUGUUUGGUGAAGGAGCGCUAACGCCGGUAGCUGUACGA